rnacentral:rRNA from 1 species
UGAAGGACGUGCUAAUCUGCGAUAAGCGCCGGUAAGGUGAUAUGAACCGUUAUAACCGGCGAUUUCCGAAUGGGGAAACCCAGUGUGACUCGUCACACUAUCAUUAACUGAAUCCAUAGGUUAAUGAGGCGAACCGGGGGAACUGAAACAUCUAAGUACCCCGAGGAAAAGAAAUCAACCGAGAUUCCCCCAGUAGCGGCGAGCGAACGGGGAGGAGCCCAGAGCCUGAAUCAGCAUGUGUGUUAGUGGAAGCGUCUGGAAAGGCGCGCGAUACAGGGUGACAGCCCCGUACACAAAAGCGCAUGUGCUGUGAGCUCGAUGAGUAGGGCGGGACACGUGGUAUCCUGUCUGAAUAUGGGGGGACCAUCCUCCAAGGCUAAAUACUCCUGACUGACCGAUAGUGAACCAGUACCGUGAGGGAAAGGCGAAAAGAACCCCGGCGAGGGGAGUGAAAAAGAACCUGAAACCGUGUACGUACAAGCAGUGGGAGCCCCACCACUAAGCCAGUGGUGAACUCCACAUACGCAUCCUUUGCUGAGGAUACGGUUAACGGAGCGAAAGCGACGUUCAACCUCAAAAGAAGCAGAGGGGGCUUAGUGGUGGGGUGACUGCGUACCUUUUGUAUAAUGGGUCAGCGACUUAUAUUCUGUAGCAAGGUUAACCGAAUAGGGGAGCCGGAGGGAAACCGAGUCUUA